GGGUUGGUUGAUUAAACAGGUUGAAUUGGUUUGGAAAUUAAAAGCGUUUUUCGAAAACGCUUUUUUCUUUUAUAAUGCACAAGUUUUGUGGACCUUACACUUGGCACCUUUGUGAUCGUUGGAUUGUUGAUUUUUGGUGGAUUGUUAAAAGCCUCGUGCCUCUUCAGUUUCACACUAAUCUGAGUGAACGAUUCUAAGGUUUUCUUCAUCUUCUCUCUGAGGGUUUCUGGACUCUUCUGCUCUUGUAAUUUUCUGAAAGCAAUCUCUAAUCUGAGUGAUGUUAGGAUUGUAUUUGGUAUAUGAUCUAUGAGAUUGUAAAAAACUGAGUGUUGUGUUAAAGAGGGGCGAUAGAAAUCUGAAAUCCAUUCUUGUAUCGAUUCUUUGUGAUUCUUAGUGGAUUCGAGACUAAUCUAUUUUUGUAGAUGCUUAACGGGUGAGUAGGCCUUUUGGUUGAACAUCCGGG
rnacentral:lncRNA from 1 species